rnacentral:rRNA from 1 species
UACGGGGGGGGGCAAGCGUUGUUCGGAAUUACUGGGCGUAAAGGGCUCGUAGGCGGCCAACUAGGUCAGACGUGAAAUCCCUCGGCUUAACCGGGGAACUGCAUCUGAUACUGGAUGGCUUGAGUUCGGGAGAGGGAUGCGGAAUUCCAGGUGUAGCGGUGAAAUGCGCAGAUAUCGGGAGGAACACCAGUAGCGAAGGCGGCACUCUGGGCCGGUACUGACGCUGAGACGCGAAAGCGUGGGGAGCGAACAGG